rnacentral:rRNA from 1 species
CACUAUCAUUAACUGAAUCCAUAGGUUAAUGAGGCGAACCGGGGGAACUGAAACAUCUAAGUACCCCGAGGAAAAGAAAUCAACCGAGAUUCCCCCAGUAGCGGCGAGCGAACGGGGAGGAGCCCAGAGCCUGAAUCAGUGUGUGUGUUAGUGGAAGCGUCUGGAAAGGCGCGCGAUACAGGGUGACAGCCCCGUACACAAAAAUGCACAUACUGUGAGCUCGAUGAGUAGGGCGGGACACGUGGUAUCCUGUCUGAAUAUGGGGGGACCAUCCUCCAAGGCUAAAUACUCCUGACUGACCGAUAGUGAACCAGUACCGUGAGGGAAAGGCGAAAAGAACCCCGGCGAGGGGAGUGAAAAAGAACCUGAAACCGUGUACGUACAAGCAGUGGGAGCACAGAGCAAUCUGUGUGACUGCGUACCUUUUGUAUAAUGGGUCAGCGACUUAUAUUCUGUAGCAAGGUUAACCGAAUAGGGGAGCCGAAGGGAAACCGAGUCUUAACUGGGCGUUAAGUUGCAGGGUAUAGACCCGAAACCCGGUGAUCUAGCCAUGGGCAGGUUGAAGGUUGGGUAACACUAACUGGAGGACCGAACCGACUAAUGUUGAAAAAUUAGCGGAUGACUUGUGGCUGGGGGUGAAAGGCCAAUCAAACCGGGAGAUAGCUGGUUCUCCCCGAAAGCUAUUUAGGUAGCGCCUCGUGAAUUCAUCUCCGGGGGUAGAGCACUGUUUCGGCAAGGGGGUCAUCCCGACUUACCAACCCGAUGCAAACUGCGAAUACCGGAGAAUGUUAUCACGGGAGACACACGGCGGGUGCUAACGUCCGUCGUGAAGAGGGAAACAACCCAGACCGCCAGCUAAGGUCCCAAAGUCAUGGUUAAGUGGGAAACGAUGUGGGAAGGCCCAGACAGCCAGGAUGUUGGCUUAGAAGCAGCCAUCAUUUAAAGAAAGCGUAAUAGCUCACUGGUCGAGUCGGCCUGCGCGGAAGAUGUAACGGGGCUAAACCAUG